rnacentral:tRNA from 1 species
CGUAGUUUAGCGGUAGAGUAAUGGUGUGUAAAGCCAGGAACCCGGGUUCAAUUCCCGGCG